AUUGAACGCUGGCGGCAUGCCUUACACAUGCAAGUCGAACGGUGGCGGGCCUUCGGGUGCCGACGAGUGGCGAACGGGUGAGUAAUGUAUCGGAACGUACCUUUCAGUGGGGGAUAACGUAGCGAAAGUUGCGCUAAUACCGCAUAUUCUGUGAGCAGGAAAGCAGGGGAUCGCAAGACCUUGCGCUGAUUGAGCGGCCGAUAUCAGAUUAGCUAGUUGGUGAGGUAAAGGCUCACCAAGGCGACGAUCUGUAGCGGGUCUGAGAGGAUGAUCCGCCACACUGGAACUGAGACACGGUCCAGACUCCUACGGGAGGCAGCAGUGGGGAAUUUUGGACAAUGGGGGCAACCCUGAUCCAGCCAUGCCGCGUGAGUGAAGAAGGCCUUCGGGUUGUAAAGCUCUUUCGGCCGGGAAGAAAUCGCAUGGGUUAAUACCCUGUGCGGAUGACGGUACCGGCAUAAGAAGCACCGGCUAACUACGUGCCAGCCGCCGCGGUAAAAC
rnacentral:rRNA from 1 species